rnacentral:tmRNA from 1 species
GGGGGCGACUUGGCUUCGACGUGGGUAGCAGAGCUUGCGGUGCAUGCCGAGAGGGUAGUGACUCUCGUUAAACAAUCGCUGUAACUUUUAUAGUUGCCAACGACGAAAACUAUGCGCUAGCGGCCUAAAACCCGCUUACGCCGACGAUCCGGGCCUGUGAGGAGAAGUCGGCGGCAAUGUUCGCAGGAUCGCAUGGACGUCUCGCCCGGGGCUGAAGUGUUAAAAACAAUCGGGCUCGCUGACAACAUCCUGACCGUCGGGUCGUUUGAAGCUAAAUCAAUAGACGGACUCUAAGCAUGUAGAGCCAAUA